rnacentral:lncRNA from 1 species
GGUGGCUCUGCUCCCACAGCUUUGCAUCUGCUAGUCCUCCUCUUUGUUAUAGCCACACAAGUACCAGGGGGAGGCACAUGCCAUGGAUUACAAAGUGACCCUUAGGAAUGCUGGGAACAGGUUCACAAGGUGCGUAGGUGCCUGGAUGUCUUGGCUUCCUGUGAGGUUGGAGCAGGCUCUGUAGUAUGCGAUGAUGGGACUUAAGUGUUCCCACCCUCUGGGUAUAAAUUUUGGGUUGAAUGUGGCUCUCUGCUAUUUGGUGCUUAUCUUCACACCAGCACUCCUUUUUCCUUACCAAGAGCUGCAAUUAACACGAUUCAGGCUUUGAGACCAGAAACAGUGGCGGGAAUCACUGUGCUCAGCAACAUCUGCCUUGCCUCUCCGAGAUCUGCUGAGAGGUACAGAAAACUUUAGGAUUAGCUCAGCACAUUCAGCCCCACAGCCAUUGCUCUGUGCUCUAAGUGUUACACCUUUAGGCUGUAAAACAUGCCUAGAUAGCCAAAGGGCC